rnacentral:rRNA from 1 species
AGAGUUUGAUCCUGGCUCAGAUUGAACGCUGGCGGCAUGCCUUACACAUGCAAGUCGAACGGCAGCACGGGAGCAAUCCUGGUGGCGAGUGGCGAACGGGUGAGUAAUAUAUCGGAACGUGCCCAGUCGUGGGGGAUAACGCAGCGAAAGCUGUGCUAAUACCGCAUACGAUCUCUGGAUGAAAGCGGGGGACUCGUAAGAGCCUCGCGCGAUUGGAGCGGCCGAUAUCAGAUUAGCUAGUUGGUGGGGUAAAGGCCCACCAAGGCGACGAUCUGUAGCUGGUCUGAGAGGACGACCAGCCACACUGGAACUGAGACACGGUCCAGACUCCUACGGGAGGCAGCAGUGGGGAAUUUUGGACAACGGGCGCAAGCCUGAUCCAGCAAUGCCGCGUGCAGGAUGAAGGCCUUCGGGUUGUAAACUGCUUUUGUACGGAACGAAAAGGUCUGCCUUAAUACGGUGGGCCCAUGACGGUACCGUAAGAAUAAGCACCGGCUAACUACGUGCCAGCAGCCGCGGUAAUACGUAGGGUGCGAGCGUUAAUCGGAAUUACUGGGCGUAAAGCGUGCGCAGGCGGUUAUAUAAGACAGAUGUGAAAUCCCCGGGCUCNACCUGGGACCUGCAUUUGUGACUGUAUAGCUAGAGUACGGUAG